AUUGUCUCCAGCGGUCUUCUUAAAAUCUGACCGUUUUUGAGUCUUCAAUUCAGCCAUGAAUACCAUGUCUUCUCCCACUCUAUAAAUAGAGAUGUAUUCGUCAUUCAUAUCACAACAAAAUCAAGUCUAAGUCUUCAAAUUCUAUCAAUAGCUCUCCUUGCAAAUUUUUAGUCUUCUCAAGUCUCUUUCAAUCAAAAUGCCAAGAAAAUCUAGAGCUUCUAAGCAAGGUGCCUCUGCCUCUGCUCCUCCUACUCCCGGACUGUUUCCAUACCN
rnacentral:lncRNA from 1 species